GGCAGUUCAGGGCACGUGGGUGAAACCCUCUCCUCGUGUCCCCUCUUUCUACUGGUGUUUGCUGAGGGCUUUGUGAGGGUUGAGGUCUCCUGCUCAUUGAAUUUCCUUCUGAAGAAAUAACCUCCCCUGGAUGCUGGUGCUGCAUCCUGGGGCCAGCAGCCACCUGUGUCCCUGCAAAAUCCUCUUUGGGUCAAGCAGGGUGCCAGAUUUGGUAUUCUACCCUGAAGAAUUCUGAGCUGAGGUCUCAACCAGCCCUACCAUGGUCCCCACCUCCCACAAGGCUCAGCUCUGUUCUCAGAGUUUCUGUACCCAAACCAGACCCCUGAGAUGUUGCCCUGUACCAGUGAGACACCAGCAAUAGUGAGAAAACUGGUUUUAUAUCCCACUGCAUAGAAACAGUGUCUGGGUCCAGCCUCUUCCAGGAGCCCUGAGGCAGCAGCAGCAGAUCUGGAAAGGAACUGGAAACUCCCACUUUGCCUUUCUCAAUGAAAAAUAGAAGUUUUGCUUUCCUGGGGUGAAUCCAUGCCCAGUUGGCAGAUGAACCAGUCUGUGGUGAUGCUGGCAAGGAUGCCCAGGUGGUUCCUACACAGCCUUGCACCACAACAUGGAACAGGAUCAUGGCCCUUGAAGGAGCUCAGCUCCAGCAUCGGGCUCUCCUUGUCACAGCAAAGCCAAUAUCAGCAGGAUUCACCCACCCCAGUGCCUGUUGGCAGCUCCAACUUCUUCCCACACCUGAGAAAUCCCCACUGGCCAUGAACAUGGAAACCACGAUGCUUCCAACAGGGACAGCUGCCUGCUGCCUCUGCCGCCUCCUGGCUCACUUUGGCAAGAGGAUUUGGACAGAGGACUGGCUGGGAGAGAGCUUUGGAGUGAGGCAGCAGCUUUCCCUCCCAGCCAGAUCCUGGCCACUUUGGGGGCACCUGAGAGGCCACAUCAUGCCUGGGUGUGCAAUGGAGACUCUCUGAGAGCAGGGUUAGAUUGGAUGGUAGAGAAAAAUUCAUCCCUAUGGGGGUGGGCAGGCCCUGACACAGGGUGCCCAGAGAAGCUGUGGCUGCCCCUGGAUCCCUGGAAGUGUCCAAGGCCAGGCUGGAUGGGGCUUGGAGCAGCCUGGGAUGGUGGAAGGUGUCCCUGCCAUGGCAGGGGAUGGGCUUUGAGGUCCUUUCCAACCUAAACCAUUCCUGGACCCUACGAGUGGCUGCCCACAGCACACACAGUGGCUCAGGGAGGGCUCUGUAUGAUUUGUGGUGGCUUUAGGGGCUGCCUGGGAGCUCCAGUGGGGAAUAACCCACGGUCAGGAAAGCCUGGUUGGUUGGAAAGCAGAGAGCUCAGAGCUGAUGGAUAACCUAGGGCUGCUGCAGAGACCUCCCCAAGCCCAGCCAGGGUGGGUGUCCAGCUCUGUUCGGGGUUCCUCAGGGCUUCUGAAUCCCAAGGUGCUCCAAAGGCGUCCAGCUCCCUGCUCCGUGUCCCAGCCCUGCCAGGGAGCUGCCGCACGCAGGGGCGGCCGGGGCGAAACAGCUCAGGCAGCACAAAUCGACUGUGACAGCCCCAGAAAGGCUGAGCCCGGGGGUGCGGAAAAAUACAAGUUAGUUUCCUUUUCCUUACCAUAUGCUCCCCUUCAGCUGUGGGCGGCACGAUAAUUACUGCCAUCCACCAUGCUGGUCUGGCUUGUCACACAGGCUGCUGAGCCCGGCACCGCCUCCCCGGCCCCACGUGUGCCAGACGCUGCCAUUUGGCUUCCCCGGCCGCAGCUUUGGUUCUUCCCGGCACCGGGGACAUCAGCAGGAUGCUGCCGGGGUUGUCCCGUGCUGGAUCCCAUGCCCGGCUGCCAGGAGAGCUCUGGGGACAGCCACUCCUUGGGCAGAUUGGAAAACAAGCUCUGCGGGGCACCCCAAAGGUCAGGGAGGGGAUAGGGGCUGUGAGCAGGGGGCUGGACCAGAACAUCUCCAGUGGCCCAAGGAGCCCUGGGGUUCCAAGUCCCAGGAGUGCUGGGGCUCUUUGGGGAUGCUGUGGGAUGCAGCCAUUGCCGUGCAGGGGGAGCACCAUGGGCUGAGGGAUGCGCUGUCACCCUGGCAUGGGCACAGAACGGGCCACUCUCCUCCAGGGCACACUUGUGCCCCAUAGGAGCAGGCUGGGGGGCUGGCAGGGGGGGCAGCUCUGUGCCUGGACAGCCCCUGGACCAUGAGAUCCAUCAAAAUGGGAUGUACAAGCCCCUAGUCCCUGUACAAGCACCCAUGGCUGCAUCCUCCAGGACCGUGUGAAACAGAAACCUUGAACCAUGGCUGGCUCCUGGUACCUCCAGAGACGUCUCUGGGUCAGGGGCAGGUUUGUCUCGGUCAUCACCCUCCCUGGGCAUGUGUCAAAGUGGAUCUUCAUUUCCCACUUAAUGUCUGGCUUGAACAUAAACUACUUCAGUGUCCUCAUUCAGGAAGAGAAGGAUGAAGUUGUGGUUGCCCCUGUUACUGUUCAAGGCCACCUUGGACAGGGCUUGGAGCAACCUGAUGCAGUGGAAGGUGUCCCUGCCCAUGGCAAGGGCUGGAACAAGAUGAGCUUUGAAGUCCCUUCCAAACUGUUCCAAGAUUCUUUGAGGGACCUUGGCUCACAUUCAGCAUCUUGCAAGACUCAUUUCUCACUAUGGACAAUGGGACCUGGAUGGGGCCAAAAAUUGGCAUGGUCCUUCCAGACUGCCACAGCCUCAGGCUGUGCUUCCCAUCACUGCAGCAGCUCCUUCUGUGGCUCCUCUGGUCCAACAGCAUCACAGCCCCAGUCCUGAGCCCAUCCAUCGUGUCUUUGGACAGCAUGGGUGCUCAAGCACCUGGCCCCUACCUCAGUUUCCCCAUCCCAUCUGAUCCCUCUCCCUGGCCACAGCAGCAUCCCAAGGGAGCUGGACAACUGCAGCUGAAACACUGGGAGAUGCAACAGCUGAAAAACCCAAUCCGUGCUCUGCAGCUUCCCUGGGAUCCCGUUGGAGGCUGUGAUGGAGAGCAGAACGGAUCUGGCCCCUGGCUGAGCCGUCCUUUCCCAGCACCCAAAGUGCUCAGAUUUGCUGGGAAUACACAUGGUAAAGCAAAAUUUAGGAGAUCUGAGGUGCCACCGGCUCUGCACCUCCUGCACAGGUUACAUGGAAGAUGAACUUUUCCAGACACCGAGCAGGGCUCUCGCUCCCCUUCCACAUCUGAAAAAGGAAAAAUCCCCAAACCCCAUCUCCCCACUCCAUCCCUGGGUGCCCGGCCACCCCUGGCUCUGCCCAGCCGCUUGAGUGAAUCGCUGACUCUUGAAGCGCUUCUGCAGCAAAGGACCUUCCUCGAGUGACCGCGCCGGGGCCGGGAGUGAUGCGAUGUGACAGCCGCCCGCACACCUCCCGACCGCGGCGCUCCGGGCCCGCACCCGCUGCCGCGGCUCUCGGGCACCCACCCGGGGAGGGCUGGGGAGCUCGGGGCCGAGGGGGGCUGGGGAAUCCUUCACCAUCACCCAAGAGACCCCUGACGUCACUGGAAGGAGGUUUAAUAUCCUUCAAUCGCACGGAAAAUCGUGUGUUUGGCCCCAGAGCCCUCCUCCCCACGCCCCCCCCCCAGCCGCCUGUCCUAUUUUGAAGGGCUCAUUUUCCCGGCGCUAAUGAAAGCGACAGCCGUGCAGGGCUGGUAUUUGGGGUUAUCAGUGAGAAUAUUAAUGGUGCUGCUCGGCAUUAACUCUUUGCAGCCGCUGCCACCGAGCCCAGCCAGAGCGGAGCCCGGACUCCUCAGCAUCACAUCCAGGACUGGGGAUGGGAACCUCAUUUCCAUCAGGGUUUAAUUGAUUUAAUAAUUAUUGAGCCCCGGGGAGGGGAUUGACCUAGCUGCUGAAGAGAGGGAGCCGAGGUGGAGGCUGAAGGGACGGUGCCGGGUGCUGUUACCUGGAGCUGCAGUGAGGCUUGGGGCAGGAGGGGAGGAUGGGGACACCAAGGGACCUCCCUGGGGGACAGGCAGGUGCCAGAGGUGACCUGUCAUAGGCAGGAUGUGGGCAGGGAGAUGGGAUGAACUCACCUUGCACAGGAAGACUCUGGCAGUCUGACGUGCUCGUGUUUGGCUGCAGAUGUUCAUGGUUGACUGGAAUGCAGAGCUCCCCAUGAGGGCUUUGCAAACAGCUGUGUGCAGAUGUUGAAGGACAAACACACCCCAGAAAACAUCUCAUGGUACAGAGAUGAGCCUUUCAGCAGGGCCUGUUGUGAUAGGAUGAAGGGGGAUGGUUUUAAACAGAAAGAGGGGAGAUUUAGGUGGAUAUAAAUGUUAUUUUACAGUGAGGGUGGCGAGGCCCUGGCACACGCUGCCCAGAGAAGCUGUGGUUGCCCUGUUCCUGGAAGUGUCCAAGGCCAGGUUGGAGGGGGCUUGAAGGAGCCUGUUCUUGUAGAAGCUGUCCCUGCCCCUUGCAGGGGAUGCCCCAUGGUGCCCCUGUGGAUGAGCUUUAAAGAUCCUUUACAACCCAAAGCUUUGUGUGGUUCUGUUAUUCACAUCCUCACUCCAUUGGCCUCUCAUUUGUUUCAAGGAAGCUCAGGUCACAGUGGAGGUUCUGUGUGAAGUCCCCAGUCCUCUGCCUCUCCUCAGGGUUGUCUCUCCUUGUGGACCCUGCAGGGCAUGAGCUCUUUGGGGUGGUGAGGGGUGCUUGUGGUGGCACUCCUCAGUCACAGCCUGCAGAGCAAUCCAUGAAGGUGCCUCCUUAGACUCCCUGAGGAGCCAUCCUUAGGAAUAAAGGAUUUCCUUGA